rnacentral:rRNA from 1 species
UACAGAGGUGGCGAGCGUUACUCGGAUUUAUUGGGUGUAAAGGGCAGGUAGGUGUCUCAACAAGUUAGAAGUGAAAUCCUGCAGCUCAACUGCAGAACUGCUUUUAAAACUGUUGAGAUUGAGGCUGGGAGAGGAGAGCGGAAUUCUCGGUGUAAGAGUGAAAUCUGUAGAUAUCGAGAGGAACACCAGUGGCGAAGGCGGCUCUCUGGUCCAGCUCUGACGCUGAACUGCGAAAGCUAGGGGAGCAAACAGG